rnacentral:lncRNA from 1 species
GCAGGGAGUGAGAGCAAAAUGAGAGGCCGAGGUAUAUAAACUGUUCGCGUAAUACCACGGAGAGCCUGAUGUAUAGUAAUGGGUCCAGGAUCGUAAACGUCUCUCUUGGCACUCUCACCACUGUCAGAUUAUUACUGUGUUCUCAGAUUCAGCUGAAUGUGUUCAAGGAUCUUCUUUGGUCUGAAAGGUCUUGAAAUAUAUGGCCUAUAAAAUCAUUCUCUUUGGGAAAGAAUUGCAGACAAGUCAUCAUCCUUUGAGGAUAAGUUCGAUUAAAAGGGUUACUGAAUUUCUUCUGUGGUGUAUUUCAUAAAAGAGAAGAUGCUGAUAAGAUCCCGUUUAAAUGGCUUGCUAAUACCAGAAGCAGAUCAUUUAAAAUGGACCUUACAUCUUUAUAGGAUGUUAGAAAUGAAGACAUUACCUCAAAAUGUAGGUCCAUUUAUGAACUAUAAGAAGGAUUCAGUAUGUGUCAUCAUUUUCAUAAAAGGAAGGAAAUCAGCAAAGUAGCCCAACUCUCUGGGGAAGAUGCAAUGUCAACAAUUAGGAAGAAUGUAAUUUAUCUUGUGCCAAAGAGGUCCAACAGUGAAUCCCAAUCAGACAAAUACCACUAAAAUGAUGACAAACACAAAAAAAUCAUCAACCUGUAAGGCAAAAGAGGAUGGGUGGAACUGAGGAGGACAGAUAAUAAAUAGCAGGUAAAUGGAGAUCAAUAUGAUAUUUUAAAAUAUAGGUAAAAUGGACAAGUGGCAACUCACUAAGCAAACUAGAAAAAUCUGAAAUUUUAGUUCACAUUUUGUGGAGGAAAUCAAUCAAGAAAUCAUCCUAUUUAUCUCACAGAAACUAGGGAUUGACAAUAAUGGGUAUAUUGGAAUAUGGGCUAUAGUGG